UGCAAAGCAAUUUCAAGCUAAAAAGUGUUUAUUUUUUGGAAUGUCGACAUAAACGACUAAAUAUGCCACAAAAAAACCGAACUAAUUAAACUGGAAAUUAAAUCAGAUCCAUACAUGAAAAAAAAGAAAUAAAUUUCGCUUCGGAAAGAAGAAACAUUGCCACAAACCGUUGCAAUUAUUGAAAACAAUGAGACAUAGCAUUGUGUAUGAACGUUUGUGUUUUUCGGUUGAAUGGUUCCAAGUAGAAGCGGUUCUAGUGCGGCAUUUCAUUCUCAAAUAUUUUCGCUACUGUUUCACAGAAAUGAUGUGAGUCAGAUGAGACUCUUCAUGUAGGGCCAAAUUACCAUUUUCAGACGUUAAAAAAAUGUGUGUAUUUUUGUCACUGCCGUUUUGGAAAAUGUUCGCGUCAUACAUCUAGUAGAAAACAACAACAAUACAUGCUUUCCAUCCGUACACAUAUAUGCUUGUGGCUAAUGUUCCGCAAUCUCAUUGCAUCGUUGACGAUUUCAUCAUUUUGCUCGAGACUCUUUUCAAAUGUAUGAAUUUGGUAACGUAAAAUGACAUGGCUGUCGUGUAAACGCGGCCCAAACAAUGUAAAUGACACUGACAACGUUUGACACUUCAGCGAGUGUUAUAUCAAAACAAAAGCGGAAUGAAUAAUCGUGAAAAAUCGACGUUUUUCUGAAAUUCAAUCACAUUUUUCACAGUGUUUUGCACCUUGGCUCGAUCAGAAUGGGUGGCUGGAUGUUGGAAAUUGCCAAAAUGGGGUUGUAUUUAACAUUUCCAGUGGCUGCAUUUCACAUAUUCAAUUCGCCCGAGUAUUUCGAAAAGUAUGUUAUUGAGAAGAAACGAGAAAUGUAUCCGCACGAAGAUGAAUUGUAUCGCGAAGAAAUUGGCCAACUAUUUCGGGACAUGAACAGCGGCAACUUGGAGAAUAAAUUGAAGCAAUUCAGUAAAAUGGAACAGCAACGGAUCAAUCGAACAGAAGCCGAUAAUCUAGCAACAGCUACGAACUGAACGAUUUUAGCGAAAUAAUUUUAUGUAGAUAAAAAAAUGAGAAGAAUAUGUUCAAUUUGUCAUUGCGAAUAAAUUCGAUGCUUCGAAAA